rnacentral:rRNA from 1 species
AUGAUAUUUGAAAUAAGUGAUCUGAUAUUUCCACGGGAUGGUGCCGUGAUGAGGGCUAACCUGUCAAUUGAGCGUCAUGUGAGCAAGAUAUAUACUCGUGCGAUGUUCAAACAGUUUGGUCAAAUCCUCUAUGAAGCAGGAGCUUACCAAGUGGAGGAGAUUGAGAAGAACAAGGUGUACAGGACAGAGCAUACUGAACCAGAGACAAGGGAGAAAUGGCGCAGGGCGGUCUACGAGGUUAAGAUGAUAGAUAAUGGGGCUGAAUUUGACUGUGAGUGUGGUCAAUUUGAUCACAUGGGUUUACUAUGCUGCCACAUUCUAAAGGUGAUGGAUUAUGUAGGAAUCAAGGAGAUACCCAAGAAGCACAUCGUGAAGAGGUGGACGAGAAACGCGCGAGAUGCGGUGCAACAGGCUCCAACCUUGUACAGCGAAGCUGUUGAACUAGUCAGUCUUGGAACUGCUAGCGCAGAGGCCCGUGAGAGGUUAAGGGGGAUAUUCAAGGAAGCCAUGGAGAUCAUGGCACCAUACAAAGAAGCAAGAGGUGGCCAAGGGCUCGAGGAUUGGCGAACCUCAGAGAGGCAAAUGGUGAAUGAAAGACCAGCAGGUGAUUGCUCCGGAGACGACAGCGAUACAGUGUCGGCAACACAAUACCGGUGUACCAGACAACAAUUUUUUUCUACCCUCCAAUUGCGAUACAAUGCAGUUUAA